rnacentral:rRNA from 1 species
CGCGAAGAACCUUACCUGGUCUUGACAUCCACAGAAGAAUCCAGAGAUGGAUUUGUGCCUUCGGGAACUGUGAGACAGGUGCUGCAUGGCUGUCGUCAGCUCGUGUUGUGAAAUGUUGGGUUAAGUCCCGCAACGAGCGCAACCCUUAUCCUUUGUUGCCAGCGAUUAGGUCGGGAACUCAAAGGAGACUGCCAGUGAUAAACUGGAGGAAGGUGGGGAUGACGUCAAGUCAUCAUGGCCCUUACGACCAGGGCUACACACGUGCUACAAUGGCGCAUACAAAGAGAAGCGACCUCGCGAGAGCAAGCGGACCUCAUAAAGUGCGUCGUAGUCCGGAUUGGAGUCUGCAACUCGACUCCAUGAAGUCGGAAUCGCUAGUAAUCGUGGAUCAGAAUGCCACGGUGAAUACGUUCCCGGGCCUUGUACACACCGCCCGUCACACCAUGGGAGUGGGUUGCAAAAGAAGUAGGUAGCUUAACCUUCGGGAGGGCGCUUACCACUUUGUGAUUCAUGACUGGGGUGAAGUCGUAACAAGGUAACCGUAGGGGAACCUGCGGUUGGA